AGUGAACGCUGGCGGUAGGCCUAACACGUGCAAGUCGAACGGCAGCACAGUAAGAGCUUGCUCUUACGGGUGGCGAGUGGCGGACGGGUGAGGAAUACAUCGGAAUCUACUUUUUCGUGGGGGAUAACGUAGGGAAACUUACGCUAAUACCGCAUACGACCUACGGGUGAAAGCAGGGGAUCUUCGGACCUUGCGCGAUUGAAUGAGCCGAUGUCAGAUUAGCUAGUUGGCGGGGUAAAGGCCCACCAAGGCGACGAUCCGUAGCUGGUCUGAGAGGAUGAUCAGCCACACUGGAACUGAGACACGGUCCAGACUCCUACGGGAGGCAGCAGUGGGGAAUAUUGGACAAUGGGCGCAAGCCUGAUCCAGCCAUACCGCGUGGGUGAAGAAGGCCUUCGGGUUGUAAAGCCCUUUUGUUGGGAAAGAAAAGCAGCAGGUUAAUACCCCGCUGUUCUGACGGUACCCAAAGAAUAAGCACCGGCUAACUUCGUG
rnacentral:rRNA from 1 species